GAUGAACGCUGGCGGCGUGCCUAAUACAUGCAAGUCGAGCGAACGGACGAGAAGCUUGCUUCUCUGAUGUUAGCGGCGGACGGGUGAGUAACACGUGGAUAACCUACCUAUAAGACUGGGAUAACUUCGGGAAACCGGAGCUAAUACCGGAUAAUAUUUUGAACCGCAUGGUUCAAAAGUGAAAGACGGUCUUGCUGUCACUUAUAGAUGGAUCCGCGCUGCAUUAGCUAGUUGGUAAGGUAACGGCUUACCAAGGCAAUGAUGCAUAGCCGACCUGAGAGGGUGAUCGGCCACACUGGAACUGAGACACGGUCCAGACUCCUACGGGAGGCAGCAGUAGGGAAUCUUCCGCAAUGGGCGAAAGCCUGACGGAGCAACGCCGCGUGAGUGAUGAAGGUCUUCGGAUCGUAAAACUCUGUUGUUAGGGAAGAACAUAUGUGUAAGUAACUGUGCACAUCUUGACGGUACCUAAUCAGAAAGCCACGGCUAACUACGUG
rnacentral:rRNA from 1 species